rnacentral:lncRNA from 10 species
CUGGCCUGCAGUUGGGUGGCUGCGGUGAGAUACCUGGGUUCCUGAAGGGCGGGUGGUUAGGUCGUAACUACUGCCCCCGCCGGCUGACUCUCCGAGCGGCCGGGCUCGGAAGCCACGAGCCAGCUGAGGCGUUCUCCGCUUAGUGCCUACGGCAUGGGUCAGCUCUUUCUGCCACCUCCGCCUUCGCGGUCCUCACCUCUUUGCGGGUGAAGUUACCUUUGGGUUUCCAGACCUUGGGGGCCUGAGGCCCAAACUCGGGACGAACCCCUAACCCACCUCUCUUUUCCUGUCAUUCUCCAACUCUUACUUUGUACCACGGAAUCACUUGGCCUUAAAGCUAGCCAGCUCGGCCGUGCCUUGAGGCCAGGUUCGAGAGAUAAAGGUAACCGUGGGGAAAGCGGCCCCCCAGUGGACAAAGGCGGAGGCAAGAAUAGAGCAGGCCUGAGGGCCAUAGGCGAUGAGAAUAGGCAGUUGAGGGGUGAAAAAGAAAACAAACAAACAACAACAACAAACCCUGAAGAGUACUGAAGAUUUAGAAGGGACUGGAAAGGACUUGUUGCGCAAUGGAAGAAUCUGACUCUGAGAAAACGACGGAGAAAGAAAAUCUGGGGCCGAGAAUGGAUCCACCACUAGGGGAACCGGAAGGAUCGCUUGGGUGGGUGCUACCAAAUACAGCCAUGAAGAAAAAGAGCACAGAGUCUUCUGAGAGAGAAGGACAGACCCCCCAAAAUAAG